GAAUCCUCGGCAAUGGACGAAAUUCUGACCGAUCACAGUCGCGUGGGUAAAGAAGAUGCUGGUAUUGUAAAACUCUUUUAUGAGGCAAGUAAGCUUUACGGUGGGAAUGCCGUAUCAUUGACUGUAUCUGAUGCGAAGGCCACGGCUAACAACGUGCCUGCUGCCGCGGUAAUCCGUAGGUGGCGUGCGUUGUCCGGAAUUAUUGGGCGUAAAGCGUGCGUAGGCGGUCUAUUAAGUCUGAUUUGAAAGCCCAUGGCUUAACCACGGAGGGUGAUUGGAAACUGGUAGACUUGAGUACAGGAGAGGACGGUGGAAUUCCACGUGUAGCGGUGAAAUGCGUAGAUAUGUGGAGGAACACCAGUGGCGAAGGCGGCCUUCUGGCCUGAACCUGACGCUGAUGCACGAAAGCGUGGGUAGCAAACA
rnacentral:rRNA from 1 species